rnacentral:rRNA from 1 species
GAUGAACGCUGGCGGCGUGCCUAAUACAUGCCAGUCGAGCGAACAGACGAGGAGCUUGCUCCUCUGACGUUAGCGGCGGACGGGUGAGUAACACGUGGAUAACCUACCUAUAAGACUGGGAUAACUUCGGGAAACCGGAGCUAAUACCGGAUAAUAUAUUGAACCGCAUGGUUCAAUAGUGAAAGACGGUUUUGCUGUCACUUAUAGAUGGAUCCGCGCCGCAUUAGCUAGUUGGUAAGGUAACGGCUUACCAAGGCAACGAUGCGUAGCCGACCUGAGAGGGGGAUCGGCCACACUGGAACUGAGACACGGUCCAGACUCCUACGGGAGGCAGCAGUAGGGAAUCUUCCGCAAUGGGCGAAAGCCUGACGGAGCAACGCCGCGGGAGUGAUGAAGGUCUUCGGAUCGUAAAACUCUGUUAUUAGGGAAGAACAAAUGUGUAAGUAACUAUGCACGUCUGGACGGUACCUAAGCAGAAAGCCACGGCUAACUACGU